GAGCCCAACCAUAGCCGAGUGAAAAUUCUGGAUCCCGCCCGAUCUCCGAUUGAAAACCACUUGAGCGCCAGAUUAGUAGUUGGGUCGGUGACAACCAGAACACCGGGUGUUGUACAUU
rnacentral:rRNA from 1 species